rnacentral:rRNA from 1 species
GAUGAACGCUGGCGGCGUGCCUAACACAUGCAAGUCGAACGAAUUACUUUAAAGGAAGUUUUCGGAUGGAAUUUAAAGUAGUUAGUGGCGGACGGGUGAGUAACGCGUGGGAAACCUGCCCUAUACAGGGGGAUAGCCUCGGGAAACUGGGAUUAAUACCCCAUAAAAACUCUAGUAUCGCAUGAUACAUGAGCCAAAGAUUUAUCGGUAUAGGAUGGUCCCGCGUCUGAUUAGCUAGUUGGUGAGGUAACGGCUCACCAAGGCGACGAUCAGUAGCCGGCCUGAGAGGGUGAACGGCCACACUGGAACUGAGACACGGUCCAGACUCCUACGGGAGGCAGCAGUGGGGAAUAUUGCACAAUGGGGGAAACCCUGAUGCAGCGACGCCGCGUGAGCGAAGAAGGCCUUCGGGUCGUAAAGCUCUGUCCUAAGGGAAGAAACGGACGGUACCGUUAGGAGGAAGCCCGGCUAACUACGUG